rnacentral:rRNA from 1 species
UUUUGCCGGCGGUCUUUUGCACUUCUUUUUGUACGCGAUUUCCACUUAACCCUCGUCACAGACUGGGACAUGCAGAGUCAGUGGCUGAUGGA